rnacentral:rRNA from 1 species
AUUGAACGCUGGCGGCAGGCCUAACACAUGCAAGUCGAGCGGAUGAAGGGAGCUUGCUCCUUGAUUCAGCGGCGGACGGGUGAGUAAUGCCUAGGAAUCUGCCUGGUAGUGGUUGAUAACGUCCGGAAACGGGCGCUAAUACCGCAUACGUCCUGAGGGAGAAAGUGGGGGAUCUUCGGACCUCACGCUAUCAGAUGAGCCUAGGUCGGAUUAGCUAGUUGGUGGGGUAAAGGCCUACCAAGGCGACGAUCCGUAACUGGUCUGAGAGGAUGAUCAGUCACACUGGAACUGAGACACGGUCCAGACUCCUACGGGAGGCAGCAGUGGGGAAUAUUGGACAAUGGGCGCAAGCCUGAUCCAGCCAUGCCGCGUGUGUGAAGAAGGUCUUCGGAUUGUAAAGCACUUUAAGUUGGGAGGAAGGGCAGUAAGUUAAUACCUUGCUGUUUUGACGUUACCAACAGAAUAAGCACCGGCUAACUUCGUG